rnacentral:rRNA from 1 species
GCCUAACACAUGCAAGUCGAACGAAGAUUGUAGUAUCGGUCUWGUGGCGAACGGGUGCGUAACGCGUUGGUAACCUGCCCCAAAGAGGGGGAUAACAGUUCGAAAGGACUGCUAAUACCCCAUGUGAUCAUCAGGAUUAGAUGCUUGAUGAUGAAAGGAGUAAUCCGCUUUGGGAGGGGCCUGCGUCCCAUCAGCUAGUUGGUAGGGUAAUGGCCUACCAAGGCGAUGACGGGUAGGGGACCUGAGAGGGUGGCCCCCCACACUGGCACUGAAAUACGGGCCAGACACCUACGGGUGGCAGCAGUAGGGAAUAUUAGUAAUGGGCGAAAGCCUGAACUAGCAACGCCGCGUGUGCGAAGAAGGCCUUCGGGUUGUAAAGCACUUUUUGAGAGGACGAGAAGGACGGWCUCUCAGAAUAAGUCUCGGCUAACUACGUGCCAGCAGCCGCGGUAUAC